UUGUACGAAGCUUGGAGAAGUGUGGAAGUAGUUCGAUCGAUUUUAUUUCGAAAUCGUACGUAUUUAGGGGCGUCUCAAAAAUCGACUUUUUAUACGUACCAAAUUUGGGAAAACUUCCUUCAUGAAAGUUGUAGAACUCGUCGAUACGAUCGCGUGCAUAUGCGGAACACAAAAAUCGGAGUUGGAAUGAAUUAGUUAUGAUUUUUUGAAAUAAUUUCCAAUUUGGUAUAAAACUUCCAAAAAAUGGAAGUUUCCAAAAAUAUUUUCAUUUUCCGGUUUUGGAAACCGGCUCCUUUCUCUCUCUCCCCCCGCAUCCGAAACCGGCCGAAAACAGAGCAAAGCUUCGCCGGCCAUUUUCUUCCUCCGGCCACCGUUUGCCUCCAAACUACCUCCAUCAGCUUCGCCUCACUCCUCCGAAGCCAUCUGUGGCAACCUUGCACGGCGGUACGGCCCCUAGCGGCGGCGGCGGCCCGGUUUCGAUUUAAGCUCGAUUUUGGUGAACGCCGGUUUUCUCCUAGCUCCGGCCACCAAAACUUCCGAUCCUUGGCUCCAUGAACUCCCCUCAACCUGCUGAUCAUCAUACUAGGAGGAUUGCACCUAGAGUGACCGGUUUCACGUUCGUCGGAGCUCGUGGGUUCCCCUUGAUGUUCUUAACAACUCUCUAGAAGGAAUCAAGGCCUGAAAUUGAAGUUUUUACGUUGAAAAUCGAGCUCGCCGGUUUCUGGAAAAUUCCGGCCACCUUCAUACUGUUCAAGGUGAUCGAUGGAUUUAUUUGGCGGACGAUUCGUGAGAUUGUUAAUGGAGCUGUUAAGAAGACGCAGCUGGAUUUGAGCGGAUAAUCCUGCAGGUUAGGAAAAUCCGGAUGGAGCUCGAGCUGAUUGUGAGUU